rnacentral:rRNA from 1 species
GAGCGAGAAGGCCUCCUUCGGGAGGCCGGACAGCGGCAAACGGGGUAGUAAGGCAUCGGUAACGUACCCCCAGGACCGGGAUAGCUGCGGGAAACUGCAGGUAAUACCGGAUAAUAUCUCCGGAUCAAAUGGUGAGAUUCCGCCUGGGGACCGGCUGAUGUGAUACCAGCUAGUUGGUGAGGUAAUGGCUCACCAAGGCUUAGACGUCUAGGGGGUGUGAGAGCAUGGCCCCCACCACUGGGACUGAGACACUGCCCAGACACCUACGGGUGGCUGCAGUCGAGAAUC